rnacentral:rRNA from 1 species
GAUCCUGGCUCAGGAUGAACGCUGGCGGCGUGCUUAACACAUGCAAGUCGAACGAAGAUACUUAAAAUGAGAGCUUCGGCAGGAUUUUUAUUUAUCUUAGUGGCGGACGGGUGAGUAACGUGUGGGCAACCUGCCCUAUACUGGGGAAUAAUCGCUGGAAAUGACUGCUAAUACCGCAUAAGACCACAGCACUGCAUGGUGCAGGGGUAAAAACUCCGGUGGUAUGAGAUGGACCCGCG